rnacentral:lncRNA from 1 species
AUGGAAGCGCGGGGGUGGAGGAGGGGCGGAGACACGUCUGUGGAUACCACAAAACGGCAACGAGUCCCACACCCCCUCAUCAGCCCUCGCCGUCGCCCGGGCGUACCCGCCGUCUUUUUCAAACCCGCCCCGCCAUCAACGGCUAUCACACAGCCCCACCCCUUGGCCCCGGCAGCAUGCGCUCAUUGGCCCUCCAGAGCACGCGCCGCGUCCAGGCGCGCCACUGGGCGGCGGGCGGAGGACAGGCGGUGGCGGCGCGCGGGUGCUGAUUGGCCGAGCGGAAGGUAUGAUGGAAAAAGGCAUGCUGAAGAGAGAAGACUGUGGGUGAAAACCACACACCUAAUCAGAGACAGAUGCUGCACUCCCCCAGUCAGUAAAAGAGGGGUGUUGUGGGGGAUGGAAAUGAGAAAUGUUCUACAUAAUGAGGUGGGUGACCUUCAAAGGUAUAACCAUAACUUUGGCAGUAUCUGGGAAAGAUGUGAAAAACAUCCAUUCUCUAUUUUAUCUGUUGCCACCACCUUUCGUCCACAUCCCCACAGAGUUUUUAGAAAUGCUCCUGGCAUGAAAGUCCUCAACCAGAAUAACUUUGAAACUGCCCUUUAAAGAACAGGAGCCUAGAGUGUUAGCGCAGACAAAGCUGAUGAUUGCAACAAGAAGAAAAAUGAAGCUGUAGGCAAAGAAAGAGCUAGGCUAUAAUAGCUAUUGCUUUAUAAUAGCUACUGGAUUCAUCUCUUUAUUCCCAAAUUACACUUCUCCCAAACACCAGCUUUCUAUGAUACUGAUCUUUGCUGCUGUUAAAAGCCAGAGAAAGGGAAAUCCUAUCUCUAUUUUCUAAAGGAAAUAUUGAACUGAAAAAAAUGGCUAUAUUAAGUUAACAGCCCAUGGGCCCAAUCUUGCCAACCAUUAACAGUAAUUUUACUUCCGUGAACUGCCUCAUCAAAUUCAGUGGGACCAUGUAUGUGAGUAAUAUUAGUGAGUGCAAAAAACUUUUUGACUAGCAUAACUCAUUUUGGAACCUCCCUAACAUCCUAUAAAACCUUCAGCAUUUAAAAGGGUCCAGCAGAAUUAAUUUAAACACUUAAUUUAUAAGUGUUCCUAACUUGUAAAAUAAUAAUGGAUUUGUUACAAGCAUAAGAAACCUUCCUGUCUGAGGCAAUACAAUUGCACAGAAAAGCUAAUGAGCAAACUGCAAUUAUCAAAUACAGUGGAUAGCUUUUCCUUCUACAGUAUACUAAUUCCCAUAUUUUAUUUCUGUAUCUGUCCUCAGGGGAGCUAAUCUAUUCUUCUGGAAGAUGUUUACUUUAAAUUCUUUGGUUGCUUUUCCUUUGAAAGCCUUUGGAAGCUGCCAGCAUGCAGAGCUGAAGAGUCUAUGUACAAGAAUAUUUUAUUGAAUACCAAUAAAUAUGUGGGGUUUAAAUGGAGAACUUUCUUU